UACGUAGGGGGCUAGCGUUGUCCGGAAUCAUUGGGCGUAAAGCGCGUGUAGGCGGUCCGGUAAGUCCGCUGUGAAAGUCGGGGCUCAACCCUCGAAAGCCGGUGGAUACUGUCGGGCUCGAGUACGGAAGAGGCGAGUGGAAUUCCUGGUGUAGCGGUGAAAUGCGCAGAUAUCAGGAGGAACACCAAUUGCGAAGGCAGCUCGCUGGGACGUUACUGACGCUGAGACGCGAAAGCGUGGGAGCAAACAGG
rnacentral:rRNA from 1 species